rnacentral:rRNA from 1 species
UACGUAGGGUGCAAGCGUUAAUCGGAAUUACUGGGCGUAAAGCGUGCGCAGGCGGUUUUCCAAGUCAGUGGUGAAAGCCCGGAGCUCAACUCCGGAACUGCCAUUGAAACUGUGAAACUCGAGUACGAGAGAGGUGAGUGGAAUUCCCAGUGUAGAGGUGAAAUUCGUAGAUAUUGGGAAGAACACCGGUGGCGAAGGCGGCUCACUGGCUCGUAACUGACGCUCAGGCACGACAGCGUGGGGAUCAAACAGG